rnacentral:rRNA from 1 species
AUGGCCGAGCACGACGCGCCCCCCGAGUCCGGCGCCGCGAGGUCCCCGCCGGCCAAAAAGCGCGGCGGCGACGCCCGCUCCCCCCAGCAGGAUGCGCAGCCUUUGAGUUCCAGAGACCGGGUCAGGGAGCGCGAUGAGGACAAGGACAGGGAGCGCCACAGGCGCCACGGGGAAGACCGAGAGAGGUACCGGGACAGGGAGAGUGUCCGUGAACGCGGUGAAGGGAGCAGGGAUCGUGAGCGCCACCGUCGCGAGCACCGUGAAGAGAGCAGGGAUCGUGAGCGCCACCAUCGCGAGCACCGUGAAGGGAGCAGGGAUCGCGAGCGCCACCAUCGCGAGCACCGUGAAGGGAGCAGGGAUCGUGAACGCCACCAUCGCGAGCACCGUGAAGGGAGCAGGGAUCGUGAGCGCCACCAUCGCGACCACCGUGAAGGGAGCAGGGAUCGUGAGCGCCACCAUCGCGACCACCGUGAAAGGAGUGAGAGAAGGGAGCACCGUGACCGUUCCGAUGACCGUGACUACCGCCGGAGCUGUGAUCGUGACGCCGAAAGAAGGGACCGUGAUAGAGAUGGCCACAGAAGGCAUCGCUCCCGCUCCCGCUCCCGUUCGGAGAGUCAGAGCAAACGCAUGAGUGGAUUUGACCAGGCACCAUCAGAAGCCAUUCCUAUACUCGCUCCCACUGCAACCCCAGUUCAGCUACCUGAACUUCCUGCUGCUAAUCCUGGGAUGUUUCCGAACAUGCUCCCAAACUUGGUCAAUGUACCUGCCCUAGGACAGCCACUAGCCAUGACACAACAGGCUACUCGGCAUGCUCGUCGUGUUUAUGUCGGUGGACUUCCUCCAAUCGCCAAUGAACAGACGGUUGCUGUAUUCUUCAAUCAAGUUAUGGCUGCUAUCGGAGGAAACACAUUUGCUCUAGGUCAUGCAGUUGUUAAUGUAUACAUAAACCACGACAAGAAAUUUGCUUUUGUUGAGAUGAGGUCUGUGGAGGAAGCAAGCAAUGCAAUGGCCUUGGAUGGUAUAAUGUUUGAGGGAGCACCAGUGAAAGUUAGGAGGCCGACAGACUACAAUCCUUCCCAGGCAGCUGCAUUGGGUCCGAGCCAGCCGAACCCCAACCUCAAUCUCGCUGCUGUUGGCUUGACACCUGGAGCAGGUGGAGGUUUAGAAGGCCCUGACCGCAUUUUUGUGGGUGGUCUACCCUACUACUUCACAGAGGCUCAAGUGCGGGAGUUGCUUGAAACUUUUGGACCUCUUCGUGGAUUUGACAUUGUGAAGGAUAAGGAAACUGGCAACUCGAAGGGAUAUGCCUUCUGUUUGUACAAGGAUGUGACUGUCACCGACAUUGCCUGUGCUGCUCUGAACGGUAUCCAGUUGGGUGACAGGACUCUCACAGUCAGGCGAGCAAACCAAGGAGCAGAACCUAGGCCAGAGCAAGAAAACAUCCUCCUGCAGGCACAGCAAGAGGCGCAAAUGAAGAGACUCGUGUAUGAAGUCGGCGGAGCCCUAGCGACAAAGGUGGUAUGCCUGACCCAGGUGGUUUCAGCAGAUGACCUUAGAGAUGAUGAGGAAUACAAUGACAUACUGGAAGACAUGACGCUAGAAGGACACAAAUAUGGUAACCUGGUGCAAGCUGUGAUCCCACGACCCCAUCCCAGCGGUGAUCCUGUCGCUGGAGUUGGCAAGGUGUUUUUGGAGUAUGCCGAUGUGGAGAGCUCGGCCAAGGCAAGGAUCGGGAUGCAUGGGAGGAAGUUCGACGGGAAGGAGACGGUCGCCGUGUUCUACCCCGAGAACAAGUUCGCUGAAGGCGACUACGACUCUUAG